GUUUUCAUCCGGCUGAGCAGACAUACUUGGCUUGUUUAUGUGCACUAGUCUCACGUGCCUUUACAGCCAAUCAACGCACGAUGUAACACGUGGUGACGCACAGAGUAAACAAUGCUGAGCGGUUUAAUCACGGAUCUGCAUGGCGGAGGUGCGGUUACGGAAGACGCAAAGAAUAAGCGUACGCAACUUCGCCAUCAUACUGACAGACAUGAAUGGGAGAAAGACCCCCGUUUUACUGUGCUAGAGGCGCUGUUCUGCCUAGAGGUGGUUUUUACAAACGUUCUGUGAGUAAAAGUUGCAUUAUUAUACUAUAAUAUUCACAGUCUAUGAUAAUAUGUAUUAUUGAAACAGAUUUUCUGAGUAACGUCAGAAUGGAAAUUGCGUGUGUACGAUAAAUUUUCUCAAAAAUACGAUCAUUUUAAGCUGCUGGUACGAUACUUCAACAUUUAAGAUCUGGCAACACUGAAUAAACAUUUAGCACGCAAACAUGUCAGAAGCCAGAAGAUCAAAAACGUAUCAUUAAAAGUGGGAAGAUGAUUUAUUUAUUUUUGUGAAAUUCGAAGUCCAUAUGUCUUAUAUGCAAUGCGAGCAUGGCUUUACCGAAGAAGGGCGAUUUGAAGCGGCGUUUCAAAGCGAUGCAUAAAACAGCCACAGAAGCCGAGAAGUGUGAGAAGUCAGUCAGCAGCACAGCAGUCAGUUUUUACCUAGUUGCAUCUUCCCAGUGCCAGCGGUCCUACUAAGGUAGAGAAAUACAUUUAUUUACACUUUUUCAAUUUGGAGAAUUACCUGGAUUUGUCUGGAUUUGCUGUGUGCAUGUUAACUAUGUAGAAAGGCAAUAGGUAGAGUAAUAGAGUAAGAGAGUAAUAGCUAUGGCUCCCUAUUUAAACUGGUAGAUCUCAGCACUCUGGCCACUUGAAAAGUAGAUCUUGAGUUAAAAAAGGUUGGGCAGCCCUGGCCAAGGCGGCGAGUUGGAAAAUUAACCGAGUUUGGAUUGUAUAGAUUGGAUUGGAUUGUAUUAGUGGUGUGUUUUCAGAGAGAUGAAUUUUCAUUGUUUCGUAUGUUCUAGCAAAAUGUGUUUUUCAGAUUUCCAAUUUUUCUUGAACAUUGAAACUACGAGUGGUGCCCCAGAAACCCUGGCGCAUGACGCUGACAAACAUUAAGGGGCUCCGUGGCAAAUAAGCAGCUAUGUAAAAUAUCAUCAUGGAAUGUCCAAGGCCUCUGUGGUUUGCUGAAAGGAAAACAAGCGAUGACCAGGCUGAAGCACUUGGGCUCCAGGAAACACAUUUAACUUCAGGUGAGGUUAUCAGGCUACGGAGAUGAAGGCAGGGCCAAGUCCUUCCAGCUCAUUCUACAUCUCACGCUAUGCUUGUUUCUACCUUAAUCCACAAGUCCAUCCCCUUUCCGUUAUAUGCCACCACUUUGCAUUUUGGGGGUAGGUUUCUAUUUUACAGGGUAAUUUAUUUAAACAACAUCUCAAUUUAGUCAAUGUCUACGGGCCUAAUAAAGAUGAUCCGCGGUUUUCUAAUAAUAUUUUCGUAACACUUGUCUCAUUGAGAAGGAAAAGUUUCAUUCAUUCUGUCUUUCAGGUCAGAACUUCUGAAACCUCACAUUCAAUUAAAUGGGAAACCUUUAAGUCUUAUAUUACCAGUUAUACAUUUAAACAAUUCAUAAACAAAAUACUGGAAACUGAAAAGGAAAAAAAGAAAUUGAAUUAGAAUUAGAAAUUGAGAUGAUAAUUAAUGGAAUUCCAGUAACAACAUAAACUAACUAUACUUGAUCUUUAGACUUUAGAGCCCAUUAAAGAAUUUACUAUUAUUCUAUUAUUAAAGAAAGAACUAAUUUAGACAAACUAAGACGGUAGUUUUAUAACAAAGGUGGAAAAACAGGGAAACUGUCUGGCAAUUAAAAAAUUUACAAAAUAAAAAAAAUGACUUAUGAGGCAGAGGACCCAAAAGAAAUAAACAAAAUAUGAAAAAUAUUUUAUGAAAAACUUUAUACAUCAGACUUGUCGCUAACAAAAGCACUUAAAGCAGUUUUCUUGAUAAACAGUUUUCCUGUUUAUGAAAUACCUUAAGUGUCACCUAUCAAGAUGUUUGCUGAACACCUGAAAAUAAUUAUGCAGUUGCAUAAGAAUUGCAAUAAAAAUUGCAUGUGUAUGUAUGUAUUAAGAAUAUGUAUGUAAUUCUUAAUAUGUUUAUGUGUUGUGCAUACUCUGGAAAACCCAAUAAAUAUAUUUCUCAAAAAAAUAAAAGAAAUAAGCACUGCAUGAAGCACCUGCUGCAGAUUAGGGUUAUAGCUAAGUUUACGAUUAAGGGUAGGGGACUUGCAGGGCAGGGGGGGUGUGCCUCUCCUUCUGGCUCAGGUGCAGCGUAAGCGGGGCCCUUUGUUACUGCGCAUAGCAUGCAUAGAAAUGCCAUUAAAUAUCUCGCUUCAUUGCAGAAAAAUUAUAAAACAAAAACGUAAAAAUGUUUUCUUCUGAAUAGGUGCGUUUAAAUUCUGACAGACCUCUGUAUCCUACGCAAGACCUAAGCAACUUUGUCCCAAGUCUCUACAACCUUCCUAGACCAAGAUGCCAACUUGCAGUUUUAGAGCUAUUGAGAAUGAUAAAAUGCCACUUUUGAGAUAUCAGGUGGGAAAACUCGCAGAAGCAAUGUUUGAUGAAAUUAGCGUGCCAAUGUCAGCGUUGUGACGUGUCCUGUGAAUUUGGCAUGGUCUGAAGCAUGCUAAUGAAACUAGCAUCAGGACCCUCCCCCACCCCCCCCGCUCUGUCCCAUCCUGUCUGCCGUGUCGCUGUUUGACCAGCUGGUGUUGCUGGCUAUUCUGUUCAUUGUUCCCCUAGUUGUUUCCAUAGUGUUAGCAUCCUUCACAAUCCCUAGCAUGUUGUCUUGUUUCCCAGGCUACUGUGGUUAGGCUAUCUGCGCUUUGCCGAUACACGAUCACAACAUGGCCAAAGAACCAGAGAUGCUAUAGUAACAUUGUAUCGCGAAUACAUGGUAGUUAUGUUUCGGCUACCAGAGAGACAUGCGCCAGUGGAUCACUCUGUAGGUUUGAGGACAAUGUUUUGGAGGAAGACUACCCAAGGAACAUUUCUGUUGGGUUCGAAAAAAUCCCAGACAAUGUGGAUGUCACCUUUACUCUCCCUGCAAAAAAAUCACCAUGGCAAAGAGAAGGUGUACUUCAAAGGGGACCAGUACUACCAGUAUGAAUUCAAGCAGCAACCCACCCAUGAAGAGUGUGUCAAGCUGAAUACGAGGUCUCCCUCCACCCUGUUUGGGAGAUACACGGUGAUGUUCAGCAGCACUUGGGGAGGCGCCUUCUCCCGCCCCUUCAGUGGCAGUAAGAACCACGGUUUGUGUGCAUGUCCCUGUCUGUUCAGAUGGGACCCCCUGAAAUAUGUCCCCAAGUGAAACCAAGUGAGGCUUGUUGAGGAAGAUAUGAAAAACUUAUGAAUCUGAAGUCCAAAGAUGGACAGAGUUUAUAUGAAAAAUGGGAAGAGUAAGAAAGACAUGAAACACAACAGAACACCAACCGCAAACAGGACUGGGAUCAGCAGGGCAUCCGUCACAGGGACUGGGGGCAACAGGGCUGGGGGCAGAGAAGCCGGCAGAAACGGUCACCGCAAUGGAGCAUGGAUGUCGUCAGUGUGGGCCAGGGCUUCAUGGAGAGGUUCUACAGAGAGGAGACCCACAAGCAAGACUGGGAUAGGGGCCGGGCCCUCGACUGGGACCAGCACCGCCGCAUCAGUGGGCACCACAGACAGCAGGAAGACUACGAUUCCAGAAACAGCAUAAAUAACCGACUGGGGCAGAAGGUCUAUUUCUUCAAGAAAGAUCGAUAUUACAGAGUGGAUUUACGGUCAAUGAUGGUUGACCUUGUAUAUCCCCCGUACCCAAGAUCCACAGCGAAACACUGGCCGGGCUGUCAAAAUGGACCAAGGGCAGAGAAAAGGUGAAGACAGAAGGACUGAUUUCAUUCAGAUCUCAGAGAGAAAGCAGACAAUCUGACCCCAAUCAUCAAUGAAUCAAAAGUGUAAAAAGUGAUGUAACCAAAUGUUUUAAUAUUUCAUAGCUAAAUGUACAAAUGAAUGAAAUCAUUUUGGAAAAUGAACUACAGAGAAUAAAAAGGUAUU